GACGAACGCUGACGGUGUGCUUUAGGCAUGCAAGUCGAACGAGAAAGCCCUUCGGGGUGAGUAAAGUGGCAAACGGGUGAGUAACACGUGGAUAACCUGCCCUUCGCAGGGGGACGAACCGGAGGAAACUCCGGCUGAUACCCCGUACCGUUUGUCGAGGGGCGAUCCCCUCGACAAAGAAAGGUAGCUUCGGCCAUCCGGCGAAGGAGGGGUCCGCGUCCCAUUAGCUAGUUGGUGAGGUAGAGGCUCACCAAGGUGACGAUGGGUAGCUGGUCUGAGAGGAUGAUCAGCCACACUGGGACUGAGACACGGCCCA
rnacentral:rRNA from 1 species